ACGCCAUUGACAUCGUCAUAGAUUGCAAGUUGAGUGCACCGGACUCAUGUUGAGCAUUUCACCCUAAGUGUCAGAAAGGAAGCGAAGUGAGUGGCUUUCCAGUGAGUGUGCUAGACGACAAGCCGUUUGUUUACAACCGGGUGCAGUGAAUGCAUAGAAGUGCAUCUCGUGAAGUGAAGAGUAGCUGUUGGUGUGGUGUUGCUAGCGAAAGCCUUCCAAAGGAGUUAUUUGUUGCUGUUGUUGCUGUCUGCUGUUGGCGUGCCCCGACGAAGGAAGAAUUUGCUGCUGCUGUUGCUGUUGGAUGAGAGGAUCUUGUCUGUGUAUUUUGAGUCAACGGUUUGUGGGUUUGAGUUACCACCGCAGGAAAUCGGGCUGUUUUGUUUUUGGUUUGGUUUGGACGGUGCAGUUGCAUCGUGCCUAGGGUGUUUGCCCUUAUAACAGCCCUGGUAUUUCAGGUCUCUUUGGCGGGCAGAGUUAUCUCGGCACACAAACGCCAGCUUAAGGUUGUGCCAGUCUCUCGCCAAAAGGUCUCCAAGCGUUUUGCCUUUCAAGGAGAGAGUGCCAUUUUGCCAAUCGGGGUAGAUCGAAUGGCAUUGGAGGACGAUAUCGACACGCCAGCGGUUGCGCAUAACAGGAAGCGAAGGCGAGACGAAGAUUACAGCAGCACUGACGAUAGCUCUGAUUUCUACGGUUUUGCGGCCGAUUCUUUCAUUUUUUCGGGGGAGGAUGUCGGUCCUUCCAACAAUACGAGGCAUACGCCGAUCAACGAGAAUCGACGUUCGAAGAGAAAACGUAUUAAAAAGAACAAAUCGGAUUAUGUGUAUUACUAGUUCUUUAUAGUUUAAUAAUAAUGAAGUUAUAUCAGAAAUUAAGUGUAAUUUACGAUUAAGCAUGUCAGUUUUGCUAGUGCUAUCUGAACAAUUUCUGUUAAAAAGUAUAAAUUUGAAUUGUCUGAAUGCCUAUGAUUUUCUAUCUUAAGGAUGAAGGAGUUGUAGAGGUGUGAGAAUACCUCUUUCGAAUUUAGUUCAGUUCGGUAAAAUGAACGGUCACCCGAGGACUAACUGCGCGAAUUGAGAGUAAGAAGAGAGAGCGUAGGUUAAAGGUGAUGUAACCGAAUAGGAGAAAUAUAGUGGUUGUAUACUUUGGAUUGUGAACUGGAAAACAAGUGUUUUAAUAAACCUCCCACCGAAAUAAGGAUUUAACACCGGGAUGGGAUGUUAUUCUUGGGGAUGGGUGCCGUGGAUCAUGAACUUCUUCCCUUCCAACUCUCUUUUGGUUCGCCAUUAAUAAUCUAGCUUUCACCACAUUUAUUUUAUACUAUUCAUGUUUGAAAUUUUCAAAACAGUUCAUACACGUCCGGUAAUGGCAUAAACUACUGACUUGACAUCCUUUUCACACAUAUCCGAUCCAGCGUUCUUCAAAUGGCGCGAAUAAGUUCAUCAAAUUUGAAAAAAAAAUCCUUCUUUGACGAUCCUUCUUCUGGCAUCCGAAGAUUAUGUAGGCAACGAUGGACAUUUCAAGGCAGCAAAUCCAGUUUUCCGCAGGUCCUCUUCAAACUGUUCCACAUCUUUUUUGUCGAGUUCAUAUCCCGAACAUGUUCUAUCUAGAUGACUGUUAGCAAUAUAGGAUAGGCACAAUCAAGGCUUCAGCUUUUCCAACACCGUAGCCUCGCCUGAUAAUGGUUUUUCUACAGUCGCCUUCUUUACUUACUCCAUGCGCUGCCAAUUGGGUUUCAACCCCAAGAUAGCCAUGUUUCAAACCUUCGCCAGAAAUCUGCGUAAUUCCUGCUUUUUCACUUUUUUAUUCGGAACAACUAUCUGGGCCCAUAACCAUAGAUUAUAGAGCGACCAGGCAACCAGAAAAAAACACGCCUAAUCAGUUGAACAGUUUGUUUAUUAAUAGCUUUAGAUCAAUUAGGAGUGUAUAAGAAUAAUAAGUUCGAUGAUGGAUUGAAGAAGUAAAAUGUUUUUAAGUGCCUAUGUUACAAUUUCUUAGCCUAAUGUCGCAGAUUACUGCUUCUUAAUAUUUUGAAAUUGUCCUAUUUCAAUGAGCGACAUACAAUUGUCAACUACUCCUCGACUUUUUCUUUUCAUUCGUAGAAUUAGUCUAAAACAUUGUCAGAUUGCUUACACCUAUGGUGUACAAGGUUAUUCGUGUUCCAAACGUGACUCCCAAGCUCUGGUUCGAAUCCCGGACACUUACAAUCAAUUUUCUCUCCUUGCGUUCAGCUAAUCGAACGAGGCAGUCAUCAUGUUCGGUCGCGUAAAAUACAUACUCAAUCGUGUACUUUGUAGAUUUUUUCGACCAGUUUCAGCUUUAAUGGUUUUGCAACUCCUUAAAAGUAAAAAAUGAACAUUUGUAUUCUACAUCAAUUUCUUCUGCUGUGUUACUCCUGCCGUGUUAUGUGUGUAUGGUCGACCGUUAAUUCUCUGCUGCAUUCAGGUCGAACCGUCAUUGAACGCGUUUCAGUUUGCUGCUUAGUAGUCUUGGCUCAAGUAGUUUAGUAGUGUUGUUAUCCGUUUUGUUCCGUUGUUUAAUACACCGUUCCAUGAGCCGCAUUCACAUUUCAACGGAAUCUAACCUCUCUGUUUACUAGCGGUAGUCUUAGAAAUAUAAAUUUCUAAAAAUCGUAUUUACAUUUUGUCACCCUACACGUUUAAGAUAUCGCGCCCAGUACUUUUCUGACUGUAUCCUUCGUCGUUUUCAUCAUCAUUAAAGGUGUGGUGACAAACACAAAUAAUAUUUCAGACAAUUUAUAUCGAGAAGUACCUCUAAUCACAUAGUGAUUCACACAAUUCCUUCUUCGUCGUCCUCGAGUUUUCAAUCUUUUCGAUUAGUUUAAGUUUAAAUGGAAGCUGUCCCCAGUUUUCGUGACGACAGGUACUACACCGUCCGAAUUCUGCGUCUGGUUUAAAUGUUUAUAUCAGGGUAAUGGGAAAUUAUAAAUGCAAAUCUUUUACUCCUCCUUGUUAUUCAGCUGUAUGUUGUUUGUUAAAUCGAACCUAUUUUGUCGUUUGCUGUAAUUUUAAAACUGUUCUUUCUUAACCUAAGCCUUUGAGUUUAGGCGACGGACCACAGAUCGCACACGUUGAACGUUGAACCA